rnacentral:misc_RNA from 1 species
GUGAAUCAUCAAAUUUUUGAACGCAAAUUGCACUCUCCGGUUUUCCGGGAGAGUAUGCCUGUUUGAGGGUCUGUUUAAAAAAUAAUCGAGGCUGCUGCUGUGGUGGCUCUCCGGAAUUGGGUCAUCUUUCACCUUUCGUUGUUAAGCGACCUAAAAUUUUUUUUCCGAUUUCUACGAACGUUUCUAAGAAUUUCUUGUACGUUAACGA